rnacentral:rRNA from 1 species
ACGGGUGAGUAACGCGUGGGAAUCUACCGUGCCCUGCGGAAUAGCUCCGGGAAACUGGAAUUAAUACCGCAUACGCCCUACGGGGGAAAGAUUUAUCGGGGUAUGAUGAGCCCGCGUUGGAUUAGCUAGUUGGUGGGGUAAAGGCCUACCAAGGCGACGAUCCAUAGCUGGUCUGAGAGGAUGAUCAGCCACAUUGGGACUGAGACACGGCCCAAACUCCUACGGGAGGCAGCAGUGGGGAAUAUUGGACAAUGGGCGCAAGCCUGAUCCAGCCAUGCCGCGUGAGUGAUGAAGGCCUUAGGGUUGUAAAGCUCUCUCACCGGAGAAGAUAAUGACGGUAUCCGGAGAAGAAGCCCCGGCUAACUUCGUGCCAGCAGCCGCGGUAAUACGAAGGGGGCUAGCGUUGUUCGGAAUUACUGGGCGUAAAGCGCACGUAGGCGGAUAUUUAAGUCAGGGGUGAAAUCCCAGAGCUCAACUCUGGAACUGCCUUUGAUACUGGGUAUCUUGAGUAUGGAAGAGGUAAGUGGAAUUGCGAGUGUAGAGGUGAAAUUCGUAGA